AAUGUUCCAUUUUUUAAAUUCUACACGUCAAACUGAACUCUGCACCUUUUUAAGCUAAACUUAUUCUUAGUAUUCUAUAUUUCUACACAAAAAGACCACGCGACUUUUAAUCUUCCCCCAGAUGUACAAGGAAAUUUUAAAGCAAUUUCCGUAAUGUUGACGCUUUAAAAAAUAAUAAAUAAUAUUGUUUACCAACGACAACGACACAAGCAAAAUUGAUCGGCUAGCGAACGUUGUAAUUCGUAUGCAUAGAUAAGUUGCAAUGACCACCAGCUUGGGACUCACAUGUACAUAUACGUAUACAUCGUAGAUUCAUCGUAAUAGAAAUCAGCUUGAGAACUGAUUUUUACUUAAACUACAGUUACAAUCUAUUGAAUAUAGAGGUUUAUGGUUAAUUUCAACGCCGAACCAAGUUUGCGAUUGUAUGGGUCACUACUCGACCGCGAAGAGGCGCGCUGUUCAAAAAGACGAAAAAGGUUACUUUUCCCGACGUGACGUUUAUUACGCAUUUGCGUAACGGUAUUACUUUAUACCGGUUCCAAGCGAUUACUGAAUAUGGGACAUUUCUAUAAUAAGGAUCAACUAGCGUCAGAUUAAUGAAUUUAUCGACUUGUGUCCGCUACGAUGAGCGAGCGUAUCGCUGAAAUUCCAUCUUCCAAAUUCUAGACGAAUUAGCAAAAAUGUUCGAGAACAACUACCGACCUAUUUACAAAUCUUACCUUAUCUACAUCUUGAAAAAGAACGUUUCUACGUUACAUGUUUCAGGUGUUCCGUUGCUGGAGUAUAAUAAAUAAUAAUAAAUAUAUAUUAAUGUUUGUUAGCUUUGCAGAUAUUCACACUUUACAACAUUAUACGAUGUUUAGACGGUCAAAUGUAAAUGUGGAAAUUUUGUCUAGCACGAAUUUAAUAAUAAAGCGUUAUGGACGAGUACAAUUUAUUUUUAAUCGAAUGAAAAAGCAAGGAAAAAGCUAUUUGCAGAAACAAUUAUUAUUAUUCGAUGUAAACGGAAUAAAUACAUAAAGAACGAGACAAGUUUUUUUUGUUUUUAAAUGUUGAAUAAAAUUAAGUAAAUAAAAUAAAAUAAAAUAAAAUAAAAUAAAAAAUGUAUAUUGUCGGGUAUAAGGUCGACGAUUGUACAACUUACGAUAAAUGUUCGAAAUUCCAUCGUAGUAUCCUUUUGCGUUUAUCUUGUUGAAUGCAGAGGCGAGGCGUACUUGAAUUCAAAACUGGAGACCUGUUUCAGGGAUGUCUGGUGACCAGUCGACGGUCAUAGCAAAACUGAACACAUUGAACCCGCGCUAUGGUAUAAGGAGCUACCUGGCUUCGGUCGCUUACUCGUCGCCACCAUAGGUACGCGCGGUCCAUACCACGUCGAAUCGCCAAGUAAACCUCGCUUAUGGAUCGAAAAGUUGAAUUCGGAGCAAAGAAAAAUGGUAAAUUAGUAGUGUAAAAGUAAGUAGCAUUCCAGCGAUUCGAUAUCUUUCAGCUAGAUGACCCGUUGCAUCGUACAAGAAGCCUCGUCCUGAAGCGAGAUCGAGGCAUUUCCGGAUAUGCACGUUACGAUAGCAGUUGGUCAAGGCCAUCGACUCAUUCAACAUCCUUCCACGACGAGUACAAAGAAGAAUGUGGAACGGCACAACCUGUCGGUCUACCCAUUGCCGUACCAACCGUACCUUUUUUAUUUUCCAAAUCUAGACGUUCCUGCGAUCACUACACGAAAUUCUGUGUUUAUUGUGGCUACUCUCCAAGCGUAUGCCUCUUUCCAGCAAGCUGCAAAACUUGCAAAACUUUUCUUCUUCCAAUUCUAUUAAAAUUUUAUUAGAUACGAAUCGUGCAUUACUCGAGAAAUUAGUGGACCCUGUGUGCUACUUUGUAAGCUGCGAUAACAAACGAGAUGUCGAAAGAAUACAACACGAGGAAUGUUGCGGUAAAAUUUGAUCAUCCGUGUUUACGACAUUGGUAAACGAACGAAUGUAUCAGGUUCACCGCUUGGGAGCGCUGUGUAGGUCAUUGAUUCGCAAUGCAGUCGUGCCUUUUGUAAAACAGAUGAUACAUACACGCUGAUGUUUCGAGGAAAGGGAUGACCUAAUAUCGUACGAGGUCUAGAAAGUUAAACAGCAAUCUUGUCAAACUGUAUUUCACAACACGCUGGCCUCGUACACUUAACUUUUACGCUUCGAUCAAAUGAAAUCGAAUAAACUUACCGUUACGAUGAAAUCCGGUAAACUUGAAUACGCCUUCGCUGGACAGGAGUGUAAUUUAUUCUUCCAUUUCACGUCAUGUAUACUGCGAUACAUUCUACCACGCUUGUAAACUUUUGGAAAUUUAUCCAAGAUUUCGUAUAACUCGAAAAAAUAACUUUAAGAAACCUAACACGAAAGAAAAGGAUUAUCGAUGCACGAUUGUUCAACAUGGAUGAAUACAAGAUAUACGAUUUCAAUUUUUUCUUUUAAACAUGUCUCUUGAAAGAUUCAUAUCAGCUAAAUAUCGUUACCGUAAAUUAUACAUAUAAUAUGACGGAUUUCUGUUUGCACGUUUUCCAACUAGAUGCCAACUAGAACAGAGCGCAAUGGGCUAAAACGGAAUAGCUAGAGUAUACAUACACGUCAACUGCUUCGUAACAAAAAACCAAGGAAUUCUCUCGAGGGAAUUUUUGCUAGCGAGAGCAGAAGGUGUAACACAGAAAACAGUUUCGACGAUUUAGUAGGAUAGAUGACAUUUAUUUCAUUACUUAAUCGUUAUUACUUGCUAUUUGAAUGCUAUAAUCGUAUAGAUAUCUAUAAUUAUGUCGAUAAUUAUGCGUGAAUUUAAAGAAUACGUGAGGUCAGCCGCAAGAUGUACAGCCCGCGUCAGUGUUACAAUGAUCGUACAAGUAAAUAAUUACAGAACGAAAUUACGUUUACUUCUCGAUGCAAACACUCAUUGAGGGGUGAGGGUGGGACGAUGGCGGCUCAUCGAUUUCCUUCGACACCUAAUAUUUCCCUAUCGAUCGAUCUCAAUUUACACACGUUCGAACGCGGUAGAAUACUUUCUCUCUCUCUCUCUCUCUCUCUCUCUCUCUCUCUCUCUCU